UACGUAGGGUGCGAGCGUUGUCCGGAAUUAUUGGGCGUAAAGAGCUUGUAGGCGGUUUGUCGCGUCUGCUGUGAAAAUCCGGGGCUCAACCCCGGACUUGCAGUGGGUACGGGCAGACUAGAGUGUGGUGGGGGAGACUGGAAUUCCUGGUGUAGCGGUGGAAUGCGCAGAUAUCAGGAGGAACACCGAUGGCGAAGGCAGGUCUCUGGGCCACUACUGACGCUGAGAAGCGAAAGCAUGGGGAGCGAACAGG
rnacentral:rRNA from 1 species